rnacentral:rRNA from 1 species
AACGUAGGAGGCGAGCGUUAUCCGGAUUUAUUGGGCGUAAAGGGCAUGCAGGUGGUUUCGUUAGUCGGAUGUGAAAGCCUCUGGCUCAACUGGAGGAGGUCGUUCGAUACUGCGAAACUAGAGGUCGGGAGAGGAAAGUGGAAUUCCCGGUGUAGUGGUGGAAUGCGUAGAUAUCGGGAGGAACACCAGUGGCGAAGGCGACUUUCUGGCCCGCACCUGACACUAAGAUGCGAAAGCGUGGGGAGCAAACGGGAUUAGAUACCCCCGUA